UACAGAGGGUGCGAGCGUUAAUCGGAAUUACUGGGCGUAAAGCGCACGUAGGCGGCUUGGUAUGUCGGGUGUGAAAAUCCCCGGGCUCAACCUGGGAACUGCAUCCGAAACUGCCUUGCUAGAGUAUGGGAGAGGGAAGUGGAAUUUCCGGUGUAGCGGUGAAAUGCGUAGAUAUCGGAAGGAACAUCAGUGGCGAAGGCGACUCCUGGACCAAUACUGACGCUCAGGUGCGAAAGC
rnacentral:rRNA from 1 species